rnacentral:ncRNA from 1 species
UCUUAUCAAGAGAAGCUGAGGGAUACGGCCCGAUGACGCUUCAGCAACCUCUGCGUCAUGCAGAAAGGUGCUAAGUCCUACAGGAUAUUCCUGGAAGAUAAGA